rnacentral:lncRNA from 1 species
GAAUUAUUAUAGAACAUAGUUUGAAAUAAACUUAACAGUGCAGGUUAGAGGGAUUCUAGGAGUUUAAAACAUAAACUGGUCCGGGUGAGAGAUAAACAUUUAAGUUUUACUUCUAGGGUAUUACGAGACUCGUAACAAUAUCCUAGUUUUUUGGGGCUUCCUCCUCUGCGGACUCCUGCUGUGAUUCUGAAACAGCAACAAGGGAUAACCCUGAGUACGAGGUACUCAGCAAGGCUUACCGACCAACCAAUAUAAUAGCUUUUCUAGGACUACAUGAUAGCUGUUUAGUGUACUGGCUAACUCACCUUUAGCCAAAAGAGCUUACUAGAAGUGAGGCC